GAGUUGUUCAGAUCCAGAAAGCUACAGCCUCAAAUAUUUACCCUAACACACAGAAAAAUCCUAGAAAAAGAAGAAGAGAAAAAAACCCUAGAAGCACGAUGGGUCGUGUGAUACACGAAGAGCAGGAUCAGAAAUACAGCUUGAUAAACUUUGAGGAGACAGAACUGCGUCUGGGGUUGCCUGGUGGAAUAUUAGGCACUGCUGGAAAGGAUGCUGAAGCUUCCAAGAACACUGGAAAGAGAGGGUUUGCUGAAACUGUUGAUUUGAAGCUCAAUAUUUCAUCUGAAGAUCAAUCGGCUGGUGAUGAAGAUCAAGCGGUGGAGAUGAAGGAGAAGAAUGUUGCUCCUGUUCCUAGGUCAAAUGAUCCAACUAAGCCUCCUGCUGCCAAGUAAGUUCUCUUUUUACCAAAUUACUUGUUUAGUUUUAGUAUUACUUAGUGUGUUAGUUGAGUAUUACUGUGUCAGUUGAGACGGUACAAAUAAUUUUCAUCGAGUAUUACUUACUGUUACUCGAGUAUUUUUCUAUUAGUUUAGACGAUGCAAAUGGUUUUUAUCUACGGAAAGACGACAGUAAAAUUGUGAAUUAAUUAAGUACGUGCUCAUAAAACGAGCACUUGUUAAGUUGACUAAAGUUAUAUAUUAUUUCUCUGUACCAAGUUAAAAUAUAAAUCGCUUGUUACAACUCAUGAAACACUAACUUAGAAAAUCAUUUUGUUUGAUACAUUCGUUUUUUGGUUUUAUUUUCCAUGGAUCACAUGAAUCCAGAGAAAUAAUUGCCAUGAGUAUGGACUACGUACAAUGUUUACAUUACGUAUUGAAUUAUAGGUAUUUUUUGAAUGGUUAGGUUGGUUGUCGGGAAGACUAAGGAAACCAACAAAACAUAAGGAAUCUUAUUUUGCUUUUUUUUCUCAACCACUAAACAUGAAUUAAGGACAACUCAUCAAAAGUAAAACAAGAUAGACAAGAACAUUACCGUAUACACGCGUAUAUUAUUGAUUAAAUUCUAUGAGUACCAAAGAUAUACUAUAUAAUAAUAGUUGAUAAAGUUGUCAUGUUAUACCUGGAGAUAUAUAUUAGUAAAACAAUUUAUUGUGGAAAUAACCUCUUUGUAAAGUAAGUAUAAGUCUGCAUGCAUAAACGUUCUUCUACCGACCUUUGUAAAGUAGAAAGCUUUGUUGGUUUGAAAUCGCCUUUUACAUGUAAUAAUAUGAGUAAAAUAGUAACGACAUGUUACAUAACUAUACUACACAUUAUUGUAUUAUUACAGGGCUCAAGUUGUAGGUUGGCCCCCUGUCCGAUCAUUCCGAAAGAACAUCCUGACCGUCCAAAAGAAUAGCUCUGAGGAGGGUGAAAAUACCAACAGCAUCAGUGCAGCAUUUGUUAAAGUCAGCAUGGAUGGCGCACCCUACUUGCGUAAAGUGGACCUGAAGUUGUACAAAAGCUACCAAGAGCUUUCUACUGCCUUAAGCAAAAUGUUUAGCUCCUUCACCAUUGGUAAUUUAAUUAAUUAAUUAAUCAUGCUUAGUUUAAUUACAAGUAACACAAUUUUUUUCAUACCUUUGGAUAUUUAGUAACAUACAAGUGAUAAAGCAAGUGGUACUCUAAUUGAUAGGGUUUUUUUCUUCAACCCACUGUUUUUCAGUUUCAUAGCCUUGUUUUAUGGUUUGUGAUAAAUUAAUAAAAACCAAGGAAUAUAUUGCUUAGAAGUAGUUUUUCAUACCCUCCUUUCCUCUUAGUAAUUUACAAGUGAUAAAAUUUUGCUUAAUUUUGGAAUAUUGAAGGUAACUGUGGGUCACAAGGAAUGAAGGAUUUCAUGAACGAGAGCAAACUAAUAGACCUUCUGAGUGGUUCUGAGUAUGUGCCUAGUUAUGAGGACAAGGAUGGAGAUUGGAUGCUUGUUGGAGAUGUGCCAUGGGAGUAAGUUUUUUCUUAACAUUAUACAUAUACAUAUAUAUUAGUCGAAUUUAAUUAUAUCUAGUUCAAAAUUAGGCUGCACAUCACUUGAAAUUAUGAUGAACCACACAUCACUAAAUUUAUCUUGGAUGGUCACAGAAUGUUUGUCAAUUCAUGCAAACGCCUGCGAAUAAUGAAGGGAUCUGAGGCUAUCGGACUUGGUUAGUGCCUUAAAUUAAAUAUUUCAUGAAAACUCAGAGUAAUUUGUAACAAUUUCGGUUUUUAAUUUUUUAUUGUACGAAAAUUAGAACUUAUUCGGCAACUGUUUUCAGCUCUCAGUUUUUAAAAUCAAGCAAAAUUUUAAAAAGGGAAAACAGUUGUCAAAUAAGUUUAAACUAAAACUUAAAAUAAAAUGGUUGUCUUCUUUUAAUUUGGUCUAAUUUUUUCCACUGUAUUGCAGCACCAAGAGCGGUGGAGAAGUACAAGAAC
rnacentral:lncRNA from 1 species